rnacentral:rRNA from 1 species
AGUCGUGACUGCGUGCCUUUUGAAGAAUGAGCCUGCGAGUUAGCGGUGUGUAGCGAGGUUAACCCGUGUGGGGAAGCCGUAGCGAAAGCGAGUCCGAAUAGGGCGAUUGAGUUGCACGCUCUAGACCCGAAGCGGAGUGAUCUAGCCAUGGGCAGGUUGAAGCGGAGGUAAGACUUCGUGGAGGACCGAACCCACCAGGGUUGAAAACCUGGGGGAUGACCUGUGGUUAGGGGUGAAAGGCCAAUCAAACUCCGUGAUAGCUGGUUCUCCCCGAAAUGCAUUUAGGUGCAGCGUCGUGUGUUUCUUGCCGGAGGUAGAGCACUGGAUAGGCGAUGGGCCCUACCGGGUUACUGACCUUAGCCAAACUCCGAAUGCCGGUAAGUGAGAGCACGGCAGUGAGACUGUGGGGGAUAAGCUCCAUGGUCGAGAGGGAAACAGCCCAGAGCAUCGACUAAGGCCCCUAAGCGUACGCUAAGUGGGAAAGGAUGUGGAGUCGCAGAGACAACCAGGAGGUUGGCUUAGAAGCAGCCACCCUUGAAAGAGUGCGUAAUAGCUCACUGGUCAAGUGAUUCCGCGCCGACAAUGUAGCGGGGCUCAAGCGUACCGCCGAAGUCGUGUCAUUCAUACACAUAUCCCCAACGGGAGUAUGGAUGGGUAGGGGAGCGUCGUGUGCCGGGUGAAGCAGCCGCGGAAGCGAGUUGUGGACGGUUCACGAGUGAGAAUGCAGGCAUGAGUAGCGAUACACACGUGAGAAACGUGUGCGCCGAUUGACUAAGGGUUCCUGGGUCAAGCUGAUCUGCCCAGGGUAAGUCGGGACCUAAGGCGAGGCCGACAGGCGUAGUCGAUGGACAACCGGUUGAUAUUCCGGUACCCGCUUUGAAACGCCCAGUACUGAAUCAGGCGAUGCUAAGUCCGUGAAGCCGGCCCGAUCUCUUCGGAGUUGAGGGUAGUGGUGGAGCCGAUGAACCAGACUUGUAGUAGGUAAGCGAUGGGGUGACGCAGGAAGGUAGUCCAGCCCGGGCGGUGGUUGUCCCGGGGUAAGGGUGUAGCCCGUGUGGUAGGUAAAUCCGUCACAC